AGGGACGAGCUGGGAGGAAGGCCGGCACACGGUCCGGGGUGAACAUUAUAACUGUGUUGCUGAUAGAUGUUCAAGUGAGAAGGCUGAGGUAGGCAGAGAAGCUGCAUUGAGGAAGCAGGUUGCAGUGACUAAAUUGGUACAUACACUUAGCAGCAAGUACUUUCAGUCUGCCUGCAAGCAGAGGAAGAAAUGGGCACCAGGAGCAACUAUUUCCUUCCAGUGAUAUAUGUAUCUAUGAGAG